rnacentral:pre_miRNA from 1 species
GGAAACUUAGAAAUUACCGUUGGAUCGAGAAAUGGACAUCCGAGAUUCGUCCACGUCACCAUGAGUUAAAACUUAACUCGCAGAUUCACUCAUGAGUUAACACUCAUGAGUUAACUCAUGGUGACGUGGACGAAUCUCGGAUGUCCAUUUCUCGAUCCAACGGUAGUUUUCAAGUUUUC